AGCAGAGUGGUGCAGCGGGACCGUGCUGGGCCCAUAACCCGGAGGUCGAUGGAUCGUAACCAUCCUCUGCUA
rfam:Lepisosteus oculatus linkage group LG7, whole genome shotgun sequence.